rnacentral:rRNA from 1 species
GAUGAACGCUGGCGGCGUGCCUAAUACAUGCAAGUCGAGCGGAAAGGCCACUUCGGUGGUACUCGAGCGGCGGACGGCUGAGUAACGCGUAGGAACGUACCCCAAACUGAGGGAUAAGCACCGGAAACGGUGUCUAAUACCGCAUGUGCUCUAAGGAGUAAAGCUUCGGCGGUUUGGGAACGGCCUGCGUAAGAUUAGCUUGUUGGUGAGGUAAUGGCUCACCAAGGCGACGAUCUUUAGCUGGUCUGAGAGGAUGAUCAGCCAGACUGGGACUGAGACACGGCCCAGACUCCUACGGGAGGCAGCAGUAGGGAAUUUUCCACAAUGGGGGCAACCCUGAUGGAGCAACGCCGCGUGCAGGAUGAAUGCCUUCGGGUUGUAAACUGCUUUUAUAUGCGAAGAUUAUGACGGUAGCAUAUGAAUAAGGAUUGGCUAACUCCGUGCCAGCAGCAGCCGCGGUAA